AGUGAACGCUGGCGGCAGGCCUAAUACAUGCAAGUCGAGCGGACGCACAGUAAGCGUUCUUCUCUAAGGGUAGCGGCUGACGGGUGAGUAACACGUGCAUAAGCUUCCUAUUAUACUUGGAGGACUUCGUGAAACCGUAUCUGAUACCACAGAAUAUGUUGAACCGCUGAGAGCAAGAGUUAAACACGGUCUUGCCGUCAGAUUGAGAUGAUGCCGCGUUGCAUUAGCUAGUUGGUAAGGUAACGGCAUACCAAGGCUACGAUGCGUAGCCGACCUGAGAGGAUGAUCAGCCACACUGGAACUGAGACACGGUCCAGACUCCUACGGGAGGCAGCAGUAGGGAAUAUUCCGCAAUGGGCGCAAGCCUGAUCCAGCCACGCCGCGUGAGUGAUGAAGGCCUUCGGAUUGUAAAACCCUGUUGUUAGGAAAGAAAAGCAGCAUGAUUAACUGCCGCUAUCCUGACGGUACCUAAAGAGAAAGCACCGGCUAACUACGUG
rnacentral:rRNA from 1 species